AAGUGAGCGAAAGAAAGCAGAAAGAAAAGACCUCGGUUCCUAGCAGCGGCAGUAGCAGUUCUCUACGGCCUAGGUUAGUUUUCUCUUCUAGGUUCUUCUUGUUUUUCUUCUUUUUUUUUUUCUUUUUUAUUUCAAAAGCCUUUUUGCCUUUUUCUUUUUUCAAAACCCGAAUUCGUAAUUCAAAUCUCUCGAAGCGCGAGCUGCUGCACCAAA
rnacentral:ribozyme from 14 species